rnacentral:rRNA from 2 species
UGGCGGCAGGCCUAACACAUGCAAGUCGAACGAGGUGCCGGAGCUUGCUCUGGUUACCUAGUGGCAGACGGGAGAGUAACGCGUGGGAAUUUGCCCGAUAGUACGGAAUAACAGCGGGAAACUGCUGCUAAUACCGUAUACGCCCUCCGGGGGAAAGAUUUAUCGCUAUCGGAUAAGCCCGCGUCGGAUUAGCUAGUUGGUGGGGUAAAAGCCUACCAAGGCGACGAUCCGUAGCUGGUCUGAGAGGACGACCAGCCCCACUGGGACUGAGACACGGCCCAGACUCC